rnacentral:rRNA from 1 species
CGAUGAAGGACGUGCUAAUCUGCGAAAAGCGUCGGUAAGGUGAUAUGAACCGUUACAGCCGGCGAUGUCCGAAUGGGGAAACCCAGUGUGAUUCGUCACACUAUCGUUAACUGAAUACAUAGGUUAACGAGGCGAACCGGGGGAACUGAAACAUCUAAGUACCCCGAGGAAAAGAAAUCAACCGAGAUUCCCCCAGUAGCGGCGAGCGAACGGGGAGCAGCCCAGAGUCUGAAUCAGCUUGUGUGUUAGUGGAACGGUCUGGAAAGUCCGACGGUACAGGGUGAUAGUCCCGUACACCAAAAUGCACAGGCUGUGAACUCGAAGAGUAGGGCGGGACACGUGGUAUCCUGUCUGAAUAUGGGGGGACCAUCCUCCAAGGCUAAAUACUCCUGACUGACCGAUAGUGAACCAGUACCGUGAGGGAAAGGCGAAAAGAACCCCGGCGAGGGGAGUGAAAAAGAACCUGAAACCGUGUACGUACAAGCAGUGGGAGCACCUUCGGGUGUGACUGCGUACCUUUUGUAUAAUGGGUCAGCGACUUAUAUUCUGUAGCAAGGUUAACCGUAUAGGGGAGCCGCAGGGAAACCGAGUCUUAACUGGGCGUUAAGUUGCAGGGUAUAGACCCGAAACCCGGUGAUCUAGCCAUGGGCAGGUUGAAGGUUGGGUAACACUAACUGGAGGACCGAACCGACUAAUGUUGAAAAAUUAGCGGAUGACUUGUGGCUGGGGGUGAAAGGCCAAUCAAACCGGGAGAUAGCUGGUUCUCCCCGAAAGCU